rnacentral:snRNA from 2 species
AUCGCUUCUCGGCCUUUUGGCUAAGAUCAAGUGUAGUAUCUGUUCUUAUCAGUUUAAAAGAGUGCACAUUAUCCAUUAUUUCAUGGAUAUAAUUACAUGCCAUUUGAUGGCUGCAUCAUCAUAAUUGCUAGUUUAUAUAGAAUAUUCUAAAAAUUAAAAAUCAC